UGCAGUUGCCUCCCCAACCGCGGCCGUCUGGAACCCCCUGGACGGGCACUGGGCAGCGCAGCGGGACUGCGGGAGUCACCUCCAUGGCCUCGGCCGCAACCCUCCCCAAGCUUUAGCUGAGGCGAAGAUGGCUAGCUACUCCCAGGUCUGUCCCAUUCUUGCACUCCCUCUCUCGUGAAAGUUCAGUUCAUCAGUUGCCCUGUCGAUUCGUUCCAAUACCCGCAACCCUCAGGUGACCGAUCAAGUUCACGCGCACAUGAAAAAUUGCCAUCGUGUACGUUUGGUAGCCUGGUAGGUAUAUAUCAUACUGCGACGAAUCGAUCAAACCACGACUCCGUCAAAAAAAAAAUGUCUAGGAGGAAAAAAAGAAAGGGCGUGGGCGGUCUCCAGAGGCGUCUUCCUCCUGUUCAUCCUCGGCCCGCGGCGGCCCGCGCCGCUGCGUCCGUGGUCCAUGGACCGCCUCCUUCGCGCUCCCCCCACACAGUAUGGUCCUAUGGGAGGUCGCCUUCGGUCGUGGCCCAGGGAGACUUGCGCGACGGGUCGGCGCGUGGUGGAGGGUUGUCUUCUGGUAAGAGUCUAGGGUUUUCGCCCGAUUUCGUUGGUUCGCAUUCAUUUCCCUAUUUCGCAUCGUGUCUCUCCCGGUCUCGUCGCGUUCUAGCUUCUGCGGGGGUUGGUUUUCUUCUCCGUUUUGUCCGCCCGAAGUCGUCGAGGAGUGGUCCCUCCCGGGUCGCUCUGCUGCUCCGCAUCGAAUGGAUCCAAAGAAUCGUAACCCUAACUAGGACCGAUGGGGUCCUAAAGAAGCCCCUCAGGGGUCGCAAUCUUGGGGAAAGAACCGGAGUCUUAGCUGGCGCUUGAAGCCGGGUACUGGAAAACCCGAGAACAAGGAUGACAUCCUUACCUCUUCUUUCGGUGACGGCGGUCAGUCAGGUAUUCUCAAAACCCCCCCUCCCCCCAUUCUGAAAAAAGAGAAUGAAAUGGUGCGUCGUGUUUUCUGCCAAAAAUGUGAUACGGAUGGGCAUCAUGCUAGGGAAUGUUUCAAAUCUUUAUGGUGCGAGAUCUGUCACAAGGAAACUCACAAUAUCGUGCGGUGCGUUCUCCCCAAACAAAACAAGCCCUGCAUGCCUAUUGUUGGGAUGGCGGGGGAUGGGUUAGGGUUUUACUCUUCCCACUUUUCCAAAUCUCUGUCGAAAAAACCUAAGUGCAGUUUUAUUGGUUUGGUUAAAAUUGUUAAGGGCUUGAUCUGGCUGAGGAUCUUGAGAAGGAUUUUGAUUUCCAUUUCCCCUGGGGCCGUACUUGGAAAGCCACCAAGUGUCACUUUGGUUUCCUGAUGCAAUUUCCUUCUCAAGAGAGGCUGGAUGAAAUGAUCAAUUUCCUUGAAUUGAAAAUAAAAUUGUCUGGUGCAAAAAUCUUUGUUUCGUCUUGGAGUUCACAGGCUAAGCCAAAAUCCAAACUCUACUCUGUUUGGAUUGUUGCUGAAAAUGUGCCUGAAGAACUUCAGAAUUACUAGGCUAUCUGUGAGUUGGGCUCUACAAUUGGGGCUGUUGAAGAGGUGGACAUUUUGUCUUUAGAUUCUAAAGAUAUUGUGAGAUUCAAAGUUCAUGUCAAAAGUGUUGCCAUGAUUCCCCCAAUCAUUGAAGUUGGUGUCAAACCUUUUCUGUAUGACAUUUACUUUAAAAUUGACAAUAUUACUGAUGAAGGGUGGAACGAUGACUCCAUAAAUCUGGGCAAGAGGGCUUCUGUUGAUAGACAGGGUUUUGGUGACCCCUCUUUUGAGAAAUCUGUUAAAAAAGCCAAAAGUGGUGGUGAAAAAUCUAGCAUGGAUGAUAAGGGAAAAUCUCUUUUAGAGGAUCCCUCAUCUCAUGGUAAUGAAGUUGGUUUUCAGUCUGAACAUUCAGAUGGUAUGAAGACUGGGAAAAUUUCUGAAGGUGUCAAAGGAUACCUUGACAGUUAGGGUAAUGAGGAUGAUGACUACAAUGAGGGUGAGGAUGAUCUAUUGGAUUCCCAAGAUCUGGAGGAAUUCAUCAAGGAUGAAGAACUUAUUCCUUCCCCUCCUCAAGAGAAAGGAAAAAUGAAUAUUAAUGCUUCUCAUACUGAAGAUGCUGGUAAGGAAGCUGGAGCUAAGAAAGGAGGAUCCAUGGAAGGGGAGCUUGCAGAAGGCGUUCGGAGGAGCGGCAGGUUGGAGUCUAAUAAUGAAAUGAAGAUUGCAGAUAAGGCUACAACAAGAGCAAUGGCUAAAGACGCAUUCAUUAACAAAGGUACGCCUUACAAUCCAUUUUCUGUUCUUAAUACUGAUAAUGUUGUUCUUAUGGAUGUUGCACACAAAAUAGGGGUUGAAUUAGGUUCUUCUAUUAAUGAUGCUGUGGAAAAUUUAAACCUGAUUAAAUCUUUAGAGCUUUCUAGAAAGAAUCUGGUAGUGCAAUCUGUUAAAUGUAAUGUUGAUAAUUCCAAGGCAACCAUUCUUGAUUCUGAGAUGGAUAAUAGUAUCCAUAAUGAAGGAGAGGAUAAUGCUUUGACUGAUCUUGAAAAUGUGAUGGUUCUCAGAAAAGGUCGUAAAAUUCGCCACAGAAAAAAAUCUGAGGAAGAAAAAAAGGACAACAAAUCUCCCAAAAAUAGGAAUAUCCCUAUUAAGUGGAGAGGUCUGAAUGAGGGGCUUACCCAAAAUUGUUCAGAAUGAUAGGCUUAAUUUGGAACUGUCAGGCCCUGGGUAAAGAUGUGAAAAGUGAAUUCCUACGAGAUAUUAUUAGGAAAGAGAGAAUUGAUUUUAUUGGUUUGCAAGAAACCAACAAGAAAAAUUUUGAUGACUCUUGGUUGAACUUCAUUGGUGGCAAUAGGAAUUUUGCUUGGGUUUGGUCCCCCCUCAUAAUGGGAGGUCUGGAGGCUUACUCGUAGGGUUUGAUGCUGACAUCUUUGAUGUGAGAGAAAAAGAAUUGGGGGAAUUUAUGAUUCGUAUUCUGGUGAUUCAAAAGGAAUCAGGAUUUAUUUGGAAUUUCAUUAACGUUUAUGGGUCUGCUCAAAAUGAUCAAAAACAAAAAUUUCUGAGUGAGUUAUCCGCUUUAUGCUCCAAGUGCUCUCAUCCCAUGUUGAUUGGUGGUGACUUUAACAUUCUUAGAAAGGAAUCAAAUAAAAACAAACCUGGUGGCACCAAUAGGUGGAGUUCUUUAUUUAAUUCUAUUAUUGAUGUGCAUGAUCUGAUUGAAUUGGAGCUUAGUGGUAGGCUUUAUACCUGGUCUAAUAAUAGAAAUCCCCCUACGUAUGAAAAGUUGGACAGAUUUCUUGUUAGCCUGGAGUGGGAUUUACACUAUAAUAAUGUGAAUGUUUUUGGUCUUAGUAGAUCUUUUUUCUGAUCAUGUGCCUUUAUGUCUCAAAACUGAUUUUGCUCCCCUUUAGUGAGAGAUUUUAGAUAUGAGUUGUGUUUGAUGCUUAGACCUGAUUUUAGAAAUCUGGUUGAGAAAAAUUGGGCUUUGCCUGUCAGAGGUAAAAAAGUAUUGAGAUUUGGAAAUAAAAAACAAAGCGCCUCAAGAAAAUGCUGAAAGGUUGGAAUAUAAAUGUUGAAGGUAGAUAUUUGAAACUCAAAAGAGAUUUGAUGAGUAAAAUUGACAUUUUAGAUAAAAAUGUGAAGUUAUGGGCAUUUUGGAUGCUGAAAGAAUUGAAAAACUCAAUUUGGAGUGGAAUUUAAAAAAAAUUAUUGAAGAAGGGUGCAAAAAAAAUCAAACUGCGAGAGAGAAAUUCAUCAAUGAGGGUGAUGAGAAUACUAAAUUCUUUCACCUUAUUGCGAAAGGUCGGAAACGACGUGUUAAAAUUCCUUUUUGAUUCUUGACGGUGCCUCUGUGAAUGAUUCUGAAAGUAUCAAUAAGAUUGCGUCUUCUUAUUUUAAAGACCUUUUUGGCCCUUAUGUUCAUUCUAGUAUUAAUGUUUCUAAUCUCAAUAUGAAUCAGUUGUCUGACACUGACAGAACACUUUUAACGGCUCCUUUUACCAUUAACGAAAUUAAAAAAGUGGUGUUUGAGAUGAAGCAUAAUAGUGCUCCUGGUCCGGAUGGUUUUCCUGUGGAAUUUUUUCAAAAUUUUUGGGAGCUGAUUCAAAUGGAUGUUUAGAACUUAUUCAAGGACUUUUAUGAUGGAAAUCUUGAUAUUGAAAGAUUGAAUUAUGGGAUGGUUACUCUUUUAUCAAAAGUGGAUAAUGCGGUUGACAUGAAGAACUUCAGACCUAUCUGUCUUUUGAAUGUUUGUUAUAAAAUUAUCACCAAAGUUCUAAACAACAGGCUGGCUAGUUGCAUCACAACUGUGACAAGUGAUUCACAAUAUGGUUUCAUUAAAAAUAGAUACAUAAUGGACGGGGUCGUCUCUCUUAAUGAAAUUCUUCAUGAGGUUAAGAGGAAAAUUCAAAGUGGUGUGGUCCUUAAAAUUGAUUUUGAAAAAGCUUAUGACAAAGUGAAUUGGCAUUUCCUCUAUGUCAUGAUGGAAAAAAAGGUUUUGGGAGUACUUGGUGUGAUUGGGUGACGAGAACUGUGCGAGGUGGCAAAGUAGCCAUAAAUACCAAUGAUAUGUUGAGGCCCUACUUCACUACUCACAAAGGGGUUAGACAAGGGGAUCCUUUCUCUCCCCUUUUGUUUAAUUUGGUAGCUGAUGGCUUAUUCAUAAAGCACAAGAUGAGGGUCUGAUUGAGGGUCUUAUUCCUCAUAUCAUCCAAAACGGAUGUAGUUGCCUCCAAUAUGUUGAUGAUACUAUUUUCCUCAUCCAAGAUUGUUUAGAAGGUGCCAGAAAUCUUAAAUUCAUUUUGUGUUUGUUUGAAAGCAUGUCAGGGUUGAAAAUAAACUUCCAUAAAAGUGAAAUCUUUUGCUUUGGAAAAGCUAAGGAAAUUGAUUAUCUGUAUGCUGAUAUCUUCACCUGUCCUAUUGGUUGUCUCCCUAUGAAAUAUCUUGGUGUGCCAAUUGAUAAUAAAAAGAUAAAUAAAAUCCUCUGGGUUCCCAUGAUUGAAAAAUUGGAAAAAAGGCUUACUGGGUGGCAGGGUAGAUUUUUGAGUCUGGGUGGUAGGCUAACUCUUUUAAAUAGCUGCUUAUCCAAUGUUCCGUUGUAUAUGCUUUCGAUUUACCCUGUCCCUAAAUCGGUUGUCAGAAAAGUGGAUAUUCUUAGGAGGCGUCUUUUAUGGCAAGGGGGCGUCAGUCCAAAAAAUUUCAUUUGGUUGAUUGGAUGUCUGUGUGUUCUCCCAAAAGUUAGGGAGGUUUGGGAGUUUUGAACCUUGAUUUUAUGAAUGAUUCCUUACUAACUAAAUGGCUUUGGAAUAUUGAAAAUUCAAAGGGUUUAUGGUAAAAAAUUAUUGCCAGCAAGUAUAUUAAGGAAAACCCCCUUAUUUCGAUCAAGCAAAAACAAGGAGAUUCUCAUUUCUGGAAAAAAAAAAUUCUGAGUCUGCGUGAUAUUUUUUACAAAUACUGUAAAUCCUUGGUGGGAAAUGGCUUGAAUACUAGCUUUUGGAAGAGUAUCUGGAUAUGAAUCUGCCCCUGACUGAUCAGUUCCCUGUCUUAUUUGACUUGGCUUAUGACAAAGACAUUUCUGUUAAUACUGUCUUGGUUUCCAAUUUUGAGGCUCUCUCAUUUAGAAGAAGGAUUAUUGGUAAUCUGAGGGUAUUAUUGGAUGAGUUGAUGAUUUGCUGUAACCAUGUUUCCUUGUCUUAUCAUGAGUAGGGCUGGACAAAAUGCUCGUGGCUCGCUGGCUCGCUCGGUUCAUGGUCAGCUCGGCUCAGCUCAGAUCGGCUCGUUUGAAUUUUUUCAUGAGCUGAGCUGACAUCCUAGCUCGGUUCGUUAACGAGACAGCUCGGUUCGUUAACGAGCCAGCUCGUGAGCUAAACGAGCUACCAUAUUCCAGCAAAACGAAACUAUAUGCAUAUCAUUUACAGAAUAAUUGAUGAACAUGUUAUAUAUAUAUAUGAGGUGUCUAUGGCCUAUGAAUUAAACUAAUGAUUAAUGAACUAUGUUUAUGUGUUAAUUUAAUCUAUGCAAAUAUAAUUAUGGGUUAAACUGAUGAACAUAUAUGUGAAUUAAUGAGUGAUGAAUUGUGCUAAUUUGGUGUUACAUUGACGUGGUUUGUGAAACUAUGAGUAUAAUUACUAUUUUCUAUUGUUAAAUUAGUUUAAAAUUAACUAAAAAUAAUUAUUAUGUAUAUAUUAAUUUUUUUCUGCUCUGGCUCGCGAGCUAAACGAGCCAGCUCGAGCUCGUAAACGAGCCGAGCCGAGCUGACUCUGUGGCUCGUUACCUUAACUUAACGAGCCAGCUUGAACUCGGAUGAGCCGAGCCGAGCUGGCUCGUUAUCCACCCCUAAUCAUGAGGACAAAAUUGUGUGGGGUCUGGAAAGAAAAGGUUUCUCUGUGAAUUCUUUAUACAAAAAGAAAAUGAUGGAUCAAGUUUGUAUUCCUACAAGUUUUUUGGAAAUCCAAGUUGCCAUAGAAAAUCAAGAUUUUCAUGUGGUUGGUGAUGAGAAAUAAAAUUCUUAUUAAAGUUAAUUUAAAGAAAAGAAACUGGAAUGGUUCUCUGGAGUGUUGUUUUUGUGGUGUUGAUGAAUUCAUUGAUCAUUUAUUCUUUCAUUGUCCCAUUGCGAGAUAUAUGUGGAGAGUAAUUCAAGGGGCUUUGAAUUUGGUGGUGAUUCCGAACAAUAUUAGCAACCUUUGUGAUAACUGGUUAAGUAAACCAAAAGAAAAGAUUGCUAAUCUGAUUUUGUUUGGCUGUGGAGCUAUGUUCUGGGCAAUUUGGCGCACUAGAAAUGAUUAGUGCUUUGGUAAUAAAACUAUACUUGACCCUUCUAACAUCAUUUUUCUUUGCUGCUUCUGGUUGGAUUCCUGGGCUAUUCGACAGAGAAAGAAGGAGCAAAAAAUGGUGGUCCAAGGAAGUAAGUUAAUCCGAAAGAUAGCAAGUGAAGCGUUUGACCGGGCGUUUGGAUGGUGCCCGAGAGACAUGCGAAUUUCUGGGUGAUCAAGACUGCAAUAUGGAGGCUGGAGUUGGAGAUAGCCUUUCUUUUGGUUGAUGUCUUGAAUCAGUGUCUUUUGUUUGCGCCUGUCUGUCCUGAUCUGUCUGUCUUGAUCUGGUUGUAAAUAAGAAAGUCUUAUGCUACUAGUCGCAGGUCGAACUUUAUCUUCUAUCCUAAACCCUCUACCUAUCUAGGUUGAUAGUGUAAAGUGUCUAGAUAGAGAUCUAACCUAGUUGUUAUUCUGUCGGAUCGUUUGAUCGCGAUAGAUGUCGUUGUUCUAAACUUUCCUAUUUCCUAAUGAAAUAGGGGGCUUGUCCCUUCGUCAAAAAAAAUAUCACACUGCGACUGUUU
rnacentral:lncRNA from 1 species